rnacentral:rRNA from 1 species
UACAGAGGGUGCUAGCGUUGUUCGGAAUCAUUGGGCGUAAAGGGCGUGUAGGCGGUUUGUUAAGUCAUGUGUGAAAUCCCUCGGCUCAACCGGGGAACGACGCAUGAAACUGGCAAGCUAGAGUACCAAAGAGGGGGGUGGAAUUCCCGGUGUAGCGGUGAAAUGCGCAGAUAUCGGGGAGAACACCCGUGGCGAAGGCGGCUCUCUGGGACGGUACUGACGCUGAGACGCGAAAGCGUGGGGAGCGAACAGG